GAUGAACGCUGACAGAAUGCUUAACACAUGCAAGUCUUUGGCGAAGCUGUGCUUGCACAGCCUAGCCAAGGCGGACGGGUGAGUAACGCGUAAGGGACUUGCCCUGCAGUCAGGGAUAACAGACGGAAACGACUGAUAAAACCUGGUAAAGUCAGGCGGACUCAUGUCCAGCCUGAUGAAAAGGAAUGCUGCAGGAGAGCCUUGCGUCCUAUUAGCUUGUUGGUGGGGUAACGGCCCACCAAGGCGAUGAUAGGUAGCCGGCCUGAGAGGGUGGACGGCCACAAGGGGACUGAGAUACGGCCCUUACUCCUACGGGAGGCAGCAGUGGGGAAUAUUGGACAAUGGGGGCAACCCUGAUCCAGCAAUUCUGUGUGCACGAUGAAGGUCUUCGGAUUGUAAAGUGCUUUCAGCAGGGAAGAAAAAAAUGACGGUACCUGCAGAAGAAGCGACGGCUAAAUACGUGCCAGCAGCCGCGGUAAUACGUAUGUCGCGAGCGUUAUCCGGAAUUAUUGGGCAUAAAGGGCAUCUAGGCGGCCGGAUAAGUCUGGGGUGAAAACUUGCGGCUCAACCGCAAGCCUGUCCUGGAAACUAUGCGGCUAGAGUGCUGGAGAGGUGGACGGAACUGCACGAGUAGAGGUGAAAUUCGUAGAUAUGUGCAGGAAUGCCGAUGAUGAAGAUAGUUCACUGGACGGCAACUGACGCUGAAGUGCGAAAGCUAGGGGAGCAAACAGG
rnacentral:rRNA from 1 species